AGCACGACCGGACAAGACCCGUCCAACGAAACUGCGUCGCAACUGGCAGUUUAUUUGACCUUUCUCGCCCCCCCUUCCCUUCCCUUUGUUUCGCCUGUGCGCCUCACAGGCUUGCUCCAACCUUUCCUUCCUCGACCACCUCUUACACAGCUCCACGCAUCGCCUCAGCGCAAGCGGAGAAUGCCGUUCUGGAAGAACUACAUUUAUACCAAGCCGGAGGUGGACGAUGACGAUUUGCCGCAGGCGGAGUACCGCUUAUUCGACGAUGAGGGCAGGAUGAGGGAUGACAACGUAGCGGCGAUGGCGGCCACCGCCUGGCGCAGAUCAUCUACAUCCUCGAAAGCAUCCGCAAACGCGAAAAAAUCUCCACCUCUGUCGCAGAAGAAGCACGCGUCUCUGCUGAAGUCCGUCGGGGCCAAGCUGACAACUCCGCUGAAGGAGGCAGACCUGAAGGACUCCUCGCACUCUCCCAGCAAGGCCGCGUCUCGCUCGCCACACGCCAGCAAGUUGGCGGCCAGAUCGCCGGCCAAGUCGCCGGCGCGUGCCAACUCGCCAGAGCCACAGCCGAUGACUUCCGCGAGCAGCACGCCGCGCAAGACAAGCCCGAAGAAGGCGCCGCCCAAGAAGAUCUCUCCCAAGAAGUCUUCAUCGAAGCAAUCCUCGCCGAAGAAGGCCGCCUCCCGAUCCCCGGCCCGCGCGCGCUCUCCUUCGCCGACGAAGCCCAAGCCGGCGGCAAAGACGUCAGCCCGCCGUCGGCGUUCUCGCUCCCGCUCAAACUCGCGGCGCAAGGCCGCGACGGCGCCCUCCAAAACGCCGAGCCCAAAGUGGACCCUCGCCGCGUUGAAGGAGUUCGCCAAGGACAACUCAAUUCAGUUGAAGGGGGUCAAGACAAAGGCUGAUAUCCUCAGCGCCAUCAACGGCUCCCCGUAGAGCGCGCAGCGAGACCGAUAUCCUGGUCAGUAGCGUUCGACUGCAGUGCUGCGAUGAAGAGAGUCUGAAGGGCCGUGACGGUGGUGGCAGACGCCGUCGUCUCUGCGCACACUGCAUGUGCCGGUUGACCCCCUCUAUGCCCCACCAACCCGCAUAGAGAGAGGGACAGCCACCCGUCAUGCUGCUGUGUGUGUUUUGUGCUGUGUGUUGUUCUCUUGUUUUUUGUACGUUAGAUCCUCGUCUUCCCUCCUCUUCCUCCACUGUGUGCUCGUGCUCCUUCUCGUCGGCGCUCGGCAGUUGGAUAGGUGGAUGGGCGGUGCGCCUGCAUCGGCCAUCCUUCACCACCCCCUUCCGCCGCCUCCCUCUCCCCACCCCUUCAUGGGGCUUGUGCUCUUCAUCCCGUUCUCCCCGUGCACGCGUGUCUCUGCAUGCACGGAAGCGUAUCCGGGCCAACACGGGAGAUGUGGGUGCACUACCCCCCCUUCCCCCAACUGAACCCCCUCCGACCAGACUUGUUGUUAUCAGUCCCACGGACGAGCCUCUCCGCGGGGGUCCCCUAGAAAGCGAGAAAGGGCGAAGAAGACAAGGAAACGCCUGCCAAAUCGGCAAACAUGCACACCUGAGCAACAUGCGGGGAGAGGAGGAGAGGGUGCGAGAGCGCUACGGGGUGGGGGUGGGGUGGAUGCUGCAGCCCUUCUGGCCACCCCACUCAUCGCGCCAGCGCGCUAGUGCAGUUCAUGGGGAGGCGGUCUUCCGCCUUGUGUACCGGUUCAUCUUCUUCUGCAGCGGCAUAUAUCCCUCUCCGUGGUCUUGUGUGCGUGCCUGCAACACACGCCACGGUGCAGCUCUCGCGUGGUCGCUAUGGCAAUGCGCUGAUCUACGUGGCCGCAGCUGUUUUUGCCUCCCCUUCAAGCGGCGAACCUUGCCCAUGUGCUUCUCUCCCUCACCCUGCCUCUCUCGCUGUCGUGGCCACCUCGUACUUUUGCACAAG
rnacentral:misc_RNA from 1 species